CCUACGGGGAGCAGCAGUGAGGAAUAUUGGUCAAUGGGCGCGAGCCUGAACCAGCCAAGUCGCGUGAGGGAAGACGGUCCUAUGGAUUGUAAACCUCUUUUGUCGGGGAGCAAAAGACGCCACGCGUGGCGUUCCGAGAGUACCCGAAGAAAAAGCAUCGGCUAACUCCGUGCCAGCAGCCGCGGUAAUACGGAGGAUGCGAGCGUUAUCCGGAUUUAUUGGGUUUAAAGGGUGCGCAGGCGGAAGAUCAAGUCAGCGGUAAAAUUGAGAGGCUCAACCUCUUCGAGCCGUUGAAACUGGUGUUCUUGAGUGAGUGAGAAGUAGGCGGAAUGCGUGGUGUAGCGGUGAAAUGCAUAGAUAUCACGCAGAACUCCGAUUGCGAAGGCAGCAUACCGGCGCUCAACUGACGCUCAUGCACGAAAGUGUGGGUAUCGAACAGGAUUAGAUACCCCUGUAGUC
rnacentral:rRNA from 1 species